rnacentral:rRNA from 1 species
GGCUCAGGACGAACGCUGGCGGCGUGCUUAACACAUGCAAGUCGAACGGAGAUACAUUGGAGGAGAGCUUCGGCAGGAAUCCGGCGUAUCUAGUGGCGGACGGGUGAGUAACGCGUGAGCAACCUGUCCCAGACAGGGGGAUAACACUUGGAAACAGGUGCUAAUACCGCAUAAGACCACGGUGUCACAUGGCGCUGAGGUAAAAGGAGCAAUCCGGUUUGGGUGGGCUCGCGUCCGAUUAGAUAGUUGGUGAGGUAACGGCCCACCAAGUCGACGAUCGGUAGCCGACCUGAGAGGGUGAUCGGCCACAUUGGAACUGAGAGACGGUCCAAACUCCUACGGGAGGCAGCAGUGGGGAAUAUUGGGCAAUGGGGCCGAAAGCCUGACCCAGCAACGCCGCGUGAGUGAAGAAGGCUUUCGGGUUGUAAAGCUCUGUUAUAGGGGACGAAGGAAGUGACGGUACCCUAUAAGGAAGCCCCGGCUAACUACGUGCCAGCCGCGGC